rnacentral:lncRNA from 1 species
GAUGUAUAUGCCAUAUUUAUCAUUUAAUUGUUGGAGAUGGUAUGAGAAUUUUAAACAUAGAAAUUGAAAAAGUUAAAUUUGCUCUUAAUUGGCUUUUUUUUCAAACCGUAGAAGUAGACUUAGAGAAUAUUAUAAAAAAUGUGACGAAUAUGGUCUUAGAGAAAGAAAGGUUCCUAAACCUUGCCCCACUAGGUGGAACUACAUGUAUGAAAGCUUANNNN